UUCGGGUUGUAAAGCUCUUUCGGCCGGGAAGAAAUCGUGGUCUCUAACAUAGGCCAUGGAUGACGGUACCGGACUAAGAAGCACCGGCUAACUACGUGCCAGCAGCCGCGGUAAUACGUAGGGUGCGAGCGUUAAUCGGAAUUACUGGGCGUAAAGCGUGCGCAGGCGGUUUUGUAAGACAGAUGUGAAAUCCCCGGGCUUAACCUGGGAACUGCGUUUGUGACUGCAAGGCUAGAGUACGGCAGAGGGGGGUGGAAUUCCUGGUGUAGCAGUGAAAUGCGUAGAGAUCAGGAGGAACACCGAUGGCGAAGGCAGCCCCCUGGGCCUGUACUGACGCUCAUGCACGAAAGCGUGGGGAGCAAACAGGAUUAGAUACCCUGGUAGUCCACGCCCUAAACGAUGUCGACUAGUCGUUCGGAGCAGCAAUGCACUGAGUGACGCAGCUAACGCGUGAAGUCGACCGCCUGGGGAGUACGGCCGCAAGGUUAAAACUCAAAGGAAUUGACGGGGACCCGC
rnacentral:rRNA from 1 species